ACUUUUGUUUUUGUAUUGAUCUACCGCUACACGUAGGAAGUAGAUUUGUCUGAGGUCUAAUAUUUUACUCUCAGAAUAGAGCAAGGUCGAUGAAUACGUUCGAGGCUUAUUAAAACAGAUCUUCAGGAAUUUUUUCUGUAAAAUAUCCAGAUAAGCUAAGUAACUGCUGGCAACACCUCCCCAACCCAGGAUCCCAUACGACAAUCUAGACUCGACCAAUGCAUGGUACAGGAUUUUCAUUUGGUGAUUGAAAUCGGGGAGAUGAGAUGAGUAACAAGAAAAAGGUUUUUCCAGGAUGUGUCUUCAUAGAAUAUUGCCGUGUCAUCCGCAAAACUAAUGAUUUCUCCG